rnacentral:lncRNA from 1 species
AUGAGUAACAACUCUGGUUGCGAGGUUUUUCCGACUCCGUUUAAAAUGUUAAGAUUCUUGUUUGGUAUAUACCUCAUACCUCAGACUUUCGGAUUUCUAAAUCUAAUAGGCGAUGAACUCAGUUUCAGCUCAGCUGCGCACUUACGACCUCUUGCGGGUUUCAGCGGCAAAUGUGGUGAUUUGAUCGGCUCCAGUGAUUUCCAGAACGUGCGGCGAGAAAAAACCUUCGUGGACAAGACACUAUGGCUGAAGGAUUUCUGGGACGACCCCGUUCGACAACAUUACAUCACAGCACCGCCUCGCUUUGGGAAGACCACGCUCCUGAGCAUGAUGCAACAUUUUUUUGACAAAAAUCAAGGAUGGCAUGACGACUCGCAAAAAUCUCAUUUUAACGGAACAAAAAUUUUAGAGCAAGAAUCAGACUUUUUUCACGCACAUUUUCGUGAACACGUAGUUCUCUUCCUCGAUUUCGGACUCCUGCGAGAGGCAAAUAAUUUAGCUUCAACCCAGAGAAUCCUGUGUGAGAUUUAUGGCAAGGCUAGGUACGAUACAGAUCCUGAUAACAGAGGAAAAACCGCAGAUGAGAAAAAAGACUCAAUAGCUAAAUUUACCGCUGAGUGUAAAGUUAACUACACGGAAUAUUUAGUGAAUCUACCAACCGACCUAAAACAGCUUAACUCAAAAGCGAACGGAACUCAAAUGAUCGUUCUCGUUGAUGAUGUAGACACCAUCAUUUCUUCUUUGCUAAAAGCAGAUGCUAGGAAGGAUGUAAUAGAUAUUAUUCUGAUGAUCGUGGGUGGGUUUCUCAAUAGGGUGAUAGGAAAUUACAAAUUUAUAGGAAUUAAAAAGUGUUUGCUUUUAGGCUCCAUGUACCUACCAGGAACUUUGACUCCGGAUAAUGAGGUUUGGCGACCUUUUUGCUCAAGCGAAAAGUUUUCAAAAUACUUAGGUUUGACGUAUCAAGAAGUGGAAGAUUUAUUGGUUAAGUUUAGCGAGCCACUCGACAGAAUGAGCGACCUUGAGGAGUUCUACGGUGGUUAUAAUGUUAAAAAUUCGACUUUGCAAAUUUUCAACACAGGUUCUGUAGUUUCUUACCUAGAGUCUCGUAGACUUGAUCACUACUGGCUGUCACACAUCGAUCCAUUACAGAACGAUUACGUGAGGAUAAUAUCUCGUCCGAGUAUGGGAUCUAUAAUCGAACAGCUUAUUAUUGGAGGUAGGGUUCACGCCCCUACAGGAGACCAAGAGGGUAAAGUUUAUUUUAAUACUUUGAAAAAGAUGAGGGAUUCCCCGUCCCUUAUUGAUGAAUCAUCAGAAAAAGUCGCGGAGAAAAGUUUCCUUUGGUACUUAGAGAACGCAGGUUACCUAGCCAGAAGCUACACCUCUGAAACGCUCCUGGUAGCCAAUAGGGAGGCAGCUUUUGCACUGGGACAAGCUCUAGUUCAGAACUCCAGUUAUUAUAUGAAUACUCAUAAUCUAUCAGAAGACAUUAGGAGGGAAUAUGUGGACGCCUUCAUGACUUUAACGGUAGAUGAUCCUGAAUUUUCAGUUUUCAAACUGGCGACCAAAAUUCAUAAAAUUUAUGCAAGCGCUGGUUCAAACACGGAGCCUGAUAAAAAGCUAAAUUUUGGAGGUUUGUUGUAUGCUUGGUUAAGAUAUUCGGGACACAAAAACUUGACACACAUUCUCGGUAGAGAAAUCGCCUACUUAAAGGAUGCGCCCAAGCAAUCCAAUAGUAUUUGGUCUCGUCGUGAUGUUUUCUGGGGCACACCUCUAACUUACGGUAUGCCCGAACUGGGUGUAGUUAGGAAUGAUAUGGUUGGGAUUUUGGCCAACUUUAAAAUGCAUAAUAUUUCUACAUUUGCUUUGAAGGAAUUGUAUGAGAAGCGAUAUACUAGAAAUUUUCCGAAAAAAUUAGAAGCGUACGGACUGAGUGGUAAAAUUUACAUGGGCAUAAAUAUCGAAAAAAAUUUCAGUGUAAUGAUCACUUAUUAUAGUUCGAGUCAUGAUGAAUUCGAUACUGUUGAAUAUCCUCUUCCGCAGUAA